GACAGAGGCCCCAAGCGUUAGGCGGAAUCACUGGGCUUAAAGCGUGUGUAGGCGGAUCGUUAAGUGUCUUGUGAAAUCCCACGGCUCACCCGUGGAACGGCUGGGCAUACUGGCGAUCUUGGGCCAACUAGGGGCAGUCGGAACAAGUGGUGGAGCGGUGAAAUGCGUAGAUAUCGCUUGGAACGCCGAAGGUGAAAACAGACUGCUGGGGUUGCGCCGACGCUGAGACACGAAAGCCAGGGGAGCAAACGGG
rnacentral:rRNA from 1 species